ACAUAUUAUACCGUAAGGUAGGCAAACGCAGGGAACUGAAACAUCUAAGUACCUGCAGGAGAAGAAAACAAACGUGAUUCCCCCAGUAGCGGCGAGCGACCGGGGAUAAGCCCAAACCGUUAUUGUUUCGGCAGUAGCGGGGUAGUAGGACUGCGACAUUGAUGAAAUAAAUGAAAUGGAACACCUUGGAAAAUGUGAUCAUAGAGGGUGAUAAUCCCGUACAUGCAAGUUUAUGAAUCAUAGCAGUAUCCUGAGUAAGUCGGGACACGUGUAAUCCUGACCGAAUCCGCCGGGACCAUCCGGCAAGGCUAAAUACUCCUGAGAGACCGAUAGUGAACCAGUACCGUGAGGGAAAGGUGAAAAGCACUUCGAACAGAAGAGUGAAAUAGUUCCUGAACCCAUACGCCUACAAGCUGUCGGAGCCGCUUCGUGCGGUGACGGCGUGCCUUUUGCAUAAUGAGCCUACGAGUUACUCAUCACCAGCGAGGUUAAGUACUUCAGGUACGUAAGCCGAAGCGAAAGCGAGUCUGAAUAGGGCGUCAAGUUGGUGGUGGUAGACGCGAAACCUUAGUGAUCUACCCAUGGGCAGGGUGAAGGUUUGGUAACACAAACUGGAGGCCCGAACCGGUAAACGUUGAAAAGUUUUCGGAUGACCUGUGGGUAGGGGUGAAAGGCCAAUCAAACUGGGAAAUAGCUCGUACUCUCCGAAAUGCAUUUAGGUGCAGCCUCUGUUGUUUUGUUCUAGAGGUAGAGCUACUGAUUGGAUGCGAGGGCUUCACCGCCUAUCAAAUCCGGCCAAACUCCGAAUGCUAGAACAUGAAGACAGGGAGUGAGCCAGCGGGUGCUAAGGUCCGUUGACGAAAGAGGGAGAACUCAGACCAUCAGCUAAGGUCCCCAAUUAUAUGCUAAGUUGGAAUAAAAACGGGGUGGGACUGCUUAGACAGCUAGGAUGUUGGCUUGGAAGCAGCCAUUCAUUUAAAGAGUGCGUAACAGCUCACUAGUCGAGCGGUCCUGCAUGGAUAAUACGCGGGCAUAAGCAUAUAACCGAAGCUAUGGGAUUGUAGAUGAUACAAUCGGUAGGAGAGCAUUCCAUUCAGCAUAGAAGCAGUAUCGUGAGGUAUUGUGGAGCGGAUGGAAAAGCAAAUGUAGGCAUAAGUAACGAUAAUGCGGGUGAGAACCCCGCACGCCGAAAGAUCAAGGAUUCCCCGGCAAUGUCAAUCAUCCGGGGGUAAGUCGGAUCCUAAGGGUAAGCCGAGUGGCGAUCCCGAUGGUAAACAGGUUAAUAUUCCUGUACUGAUCAUAACUGCGAUGCAGCGACGCAGAGGUGACACUGCUGCGUACUGACGGAAUAGUACGUUGAAACCCGUAUUCUUUGAUACCGGUAGUGAAGCACGCCGGUAGAGAUGAAAGGUGAUAGUACCGCAAUGCUUCGGUUGCGCGGAUAAUGCAGGUAAGCUGACUGCCAAGAAAACCUGCUAAGCUUCAGGUAAUGAUCAUCCGUACUGUAAACGGACACACGUGAUCAGGUAGAAAAUACUAAGGCGCUCGAGAGAUUCAUGGUUAAGGAACUAGGCAAAAUGGUCCUGUAACUUCGGGAUAAAGGACGCUCUUGUGAAAGAGCCGCAGAUAAUAGGCCCAGGCGACUGUUUACCAAAAACACAUGGCUAUGCUAAUUCGCAAGAAGAUGUAUAUGGCCUGACACCUGCCCGGUGCCGGAAGGUUAAGAGGAGAGCUCAGAGGUAACUCGAAGGUUUGAAUUGAAGCCCCGGUAAACGGCGGCCGUAACUAUAACGGUCCUAAGGUAGCGAAAUUCCUUGUCAGGU
rnacentral:rRNA from 1 species